AUGUCCCCACUAAACUCACCAAGGCCCAGUGUAAACUUCACUGUCCCAAUCUCAACCCCCACAGUGUCUCCACGCUGUCUGCUCAUGUAUCCUAGCCGGGCCCCUUGCCAUCCCCAGUCUCUUACCUGUAUGAAAGGAACUGCAGGAGGGAGGGGCCUCUGUCUCACCCACAUAAUUGAAGGGCCUGACCUUGGCCCUGACAUUCAGAAACUAGGCACAAUUGCCCAGGCCAGUGAGCCAGCCGUGCAGGCCCCUCUACCUCCCACCUGGUCCUGUGUCCUCCCGGGGCCUCCCUCAGUGAGUCACUCACAGCUAGAAUCCAGUCCUGCCACCCAGAAUCACCACAAGCUUGGGCACCUCCUCCCUACAGAUAGUUUCUUCGCACUGGAGACUGCCCUGCUCCCAUGGGCAGGCUGGGAAGCAGGGCCCAAGCCCAGGGGACCCCCAGACUGGCCAGUCUCUGUCCAGAACCCUUUUGUCUAUGCCUUGAAGCCCUGUAAAGCAGACAGCAUCUUCGUGACACGGGGCUGCCUGGUAAAGGACUACUUCCCUGGCCCGGUGACUGUGACCUGGUCUCCAAACUCCCCGAACAUAAGCUCCGUGAACUUCCCUGCCGUGGGCUCUGAACUCAAGGUCACCACCAGCCUAGUGACCACCUGGAACAAAUCAGUCAAGAACUUCACUUGUCAGGUGACACAUACCCCAUCCGGAUUCAACGAGGGUAAGGUGAUCAGAGUGUCACCUGCCAAUAUCACCAAGCCCAUCUUGAAGCUGCUCCACUCAUCCUGUGACCCCAAGGCCUUCCACUCCACUGUCCAGCUCUACUGCUUCAUCUAUGGUCAUAUUCCAGGUGAUGCCACUGUCACCUGGCUAAAAGAUGGACAGAAGAUGCCUAAUGUAUUUCCACGUUAUUUCCUAAUCAAGAAGGAGGGCAAUCUGGCCUCUAGCUACAGUGAACUCAACAUCACCAGGGAUCAAUGGAUGUCUGAGAGCGUCUUCACCUGCCAGGUCACGUCCCAAGAUAGGGACUAUCUGGCCUCUGCCCAGAAGUGCUCAGAUUAUGCGCCACGUGGCGUGAAUACCUACCUGAUCCCACCCAGCCCCCUGGACCUGUAUGUACUUAAGACUCCCAAGCUUACCUGUCUGGUGGUGGACCUGGAAAGCAAAGAGAAUGCCACUGUGACAUGGACCCAAGAGCAUGGGAAUCCUGUGGGCUCAGCAUUCCAGAGUUCCAUCAGGCACCAAAAUGCAACAAUUAGCAUCACCUCCACCCUCCCAGUGGACGCCAAUGACUGGAUUGAAGGCGAAGGGUAUAAGUGCGAAGUGAACCACCCUCACCUGCCCAAGCCCAUUGUGCGGUCCAUCUCCAAGGGCCCGGGCCAGCGCUCAGCCCCAGAGGUGUACGUGUUCCCACCACCAGAGAAGGAGAACAAGGGCAAACUCACACUCACCUGUCUGAUCCAGAACUUCUUCCCUGAGGACAUCUCAGUGCUGUGGCUGAAGGAUGGGGUGCUGAUCCCAGUGGCCCAGUACAGAACCACAGCACCCCUGAAGUCCAAUGGCCCCCGUCAAGGCUUCUUCAUCUUCAGCCGCCUAGAGGUCUCCAAGGCACACUGGGAAGAGAAUAAAAAAUUCACCUGCCAAGUGAUCCACGAGGCACUGAAAGAGCCUAGGACUCUGGAGGAAACAAUAUCCAAGAUCCCUGGUAAAUGAUGCUUCCCUCCAUCC